rnacentral:rRNA from 1 species
AAUAUUGACCAAUGGGGGAAACCCGGAUCCAGCCAUCCCGGGGGGUUGAAGAAGGCUUGAGGGUUGUUAAAGCACUUCAAAUUGGGAGGAAAUAGUUCCAGGAUAAUACUCUUUAGCUUGGACGUUACCGUAAGAAGAAGCACCGGCUAACUUCGUGCCAGCAGCCGCGGUAAUACGAAGGGUGCAAGCGUUAAUCGGAAUUACUGGGCGUAAAGCGCGGGUAGGCGGUUUGUUAAGUUGGAUGUGAAAUCCCCGGGCUCAACCUGGGAACUGCAUCCAAAACUGGCAAGCUAGAGUACAGUAGAGGGAUGGUGGAAUUUUCAGGUGUAGCGGUGAAAUGAGUAGAUAUAGGAAAGAACAUCAGUGGCGAAGGCGGCCAUCUCGAUUGAUACUGACGUGAGGUGCGAAAGCGUGGGGAGCAAACAGGAUUAGAUACCUUGGUAGUCCACGCAGUA